rnacentral:tRNA from 1 species
UUAAUCGAAACCAAAGGAGGAGGUAUGCUACUGUUAAUAGUAAAAGUGAAAAUUUAUUUUUCCGGUUAAA